rnacentral:rRNA from 1 species
CGCUAGCGGCAGGCAUAAUACAUGCAAGUUGAACGGGAUCAGUUGUAGCAAUACGACUGUGAGAGUAGCGCACGGGUGCGUAACACGUAUGCAAUCUGCCCCUAUCUGAGGAAUAGCCCCUCGAAAGAGGGAUUUAAUAUCUCAUAAAAUAGUGAGUAGGCAUCUACUUACUAUCAAAGCUCAGGCGGAUAGGGAUGAGCAUGCGGCUGAUUAGCUAGUUGGUGAGGUAAUGGCUCACCAAGGCUACGAUCAGUAGGGGGUCUGAGAGGAUGUCCCCCCACACUGGUACUGAGACACGGACCAGACUCCUACGGGAGGCAGCAGUGGGGAAUUUUGGACAAUGGGCGCAAGCCUGAUCCAGCAAUGCCGCGUGCAGGAAGAAGGCCUUCGGGUUGUAAACUGCUUUUGUACGGAACGAAAAGGCUCUGGUUAAUACCUGGGGCUCAUGACGGUACCGUAAGAAUAAGCACCGGCUAACUACGUG